rnacentral:tRNA from 1 species
GGUAACAUGGCUGAGAAAAAGCGGCGGGCUGUAAAUCCGCAAACAGGAGUAGAUCCUUGGUCACCA